rnacentral:rRNA from 1 species
UACGUAGGGUGCAAACGUUGCUCGGAAUCAUUGGGCGUAAAGCGCGCGUAGGCGGCUCGUUAAGUCGGAUGUGAAAGCCCUCGGCUCAACCGAGGAAGUGCAUACGAAACUGGCGAGCUUGAAUAUGGAAGAGGGUCGCGGAAUUCCCGGUGUAGAGGUGAAAUUCGUAGAUACCGGGAGGAACACCAGUGGCGAAGGCGGCGACCUGGGCCAAUAUUGACGCUGAGGUGCGAAAGCGUGGGGAGCAAACAGG